GGGUAGAGGUGCAGAAAUUGCGUGUAACAGAGGGGAGCUUACCAAAAGCUUUGAUCCUUUGUGAAGAGCAUUUCUGCCGAGAGGCAGAGUGUGGUCAGCUUUGCUUCGGCUGCAUAUCAUAGUGGUAUGCGGCUGUCAUCAUAAGCACAUGAUGGAGAGCUAUCGA
rnacentral:ncRNA from 1 species